UACGUAGGUGGCAAGCGUUGUCCGGAAUUAUUGGGCGUAAAGCGCGCGCAGGUGGUUUCUUAAGUCUGAUGUGAAAGCCCACGGCUCAACCGUGGAGGGUCAUUGGAAACUGGGGAACUUGAGUGCAGAAGAGGAAAGUGGAAUUCCAAGUGUAGCGGUGAAAUGCGUAGAGAUUGGAGGAACACCAGUGGCGAAGGCGACUUUCUGGUCUGUAACUGACACUGAGGCGCGAAAAGCGUGGGGAGCGAACAGG
rnacentral:rRNA from 1 species